rnacentral:rRNA from 1 species
AGGGUUUGAUCAUGGCUCAGGACGAACGCUGGCGGCAUGCCUAACACAUGCAAGUCGAACGAGAAAGUUCCUUCGGGAGCAAUUAAAGUGGCGCACGGGUGAGUAACGCGUAGACAAUCUGCCCUUCAGUCUGGGACAACUUUUCGAAAGGAGAGCUAAUACCGGAUAACAAUGCAUGACACAAGUUGUAUAUUUGAAAGCUUUAUGUGCUGAAGGAGGGGUCUGCGUCCCAUUAGCUAGUUGGUAGGGUAAAGGCUUACCAAGGCAACGAUGGGUAGCGGGUUUGAGAGGACGAUCCGCCACACUGGAACUGAGACACGGUCCAGACUCCUACGGGAGGCAGCAGUGGGGAAUAUUGCACAAUGGAGGAAACUCUGAUGCAGCAAUGUCGCGUGAGUGAAGAAGGCCCUUGGGUCGUAAAGCUCUUUUAUGGGGGAAGAUGAUGACGGUACCCCAAGA